UAGCUGCGUUGCCCUGGUAACAACUGUAAACAAAAGGCUGCGGUUAACUGCUCCGCUCCCUGACAGGAUUUUUCAUUCAUUCGUGCCAAUGAAACAGGAGGCCUCGAUUCGUGCAGAAGAUAAGGUUUGAAACCCAGACAGCACGAAGCAUCUUGCCGACGUCAAAAUCAGAUCAACAGACAGGGACAUCAGCCUUCUCUUGGGAAUAGGCCAGAUAUGCCAUAACAAGAAAUGGUGUUUUGCCCCUGCGGUUGUGAAGAGGAUGCUGUGGAGGUGGCAGCAUGAACGUGUCACACAGACAUUGGCUAAACUACUCGGCUUCUACACUUGCCCUCAGAGUUCACAUAUGGUGAAGUGCACAGGUGUCCAGUCAGGUUCAGACUGAUGCUGGUAACAAGAGGAAAACAUGCUAAUUGGUAAGUGAGAUCCCUGCUCAACAAAAAUCCACACAGCACAACAAGUAAGCCUAGUUUGUGGUAUCAAAUGUAAAAUGGAAGUUUCAUCAAAAAGUUGUAGAACACAUCUGAAUAAAUUGCAGGCCAUCAAAGUG